UGCUGUGUUGUAAAAUAAUAAACCUUUUUGAAUCAGUAAAAGUGUGUGAUCACCUGCGUUGGGAGUUACAUAUUUUUUCUUGCCGUUCAUUCUCAGCCCUACUAUAGCGUCUUUGAGCAAAAGGACUUUCACUUCCUGCUCUAAAAUGUAGCCAAACCUUAUCGUGUGUAGCAUACAUUGCUUCAACCAGGCAGCUAACACGCAUGUGCUCUGAAAUUUAAUGUUUCUCUGGCUACCACUCAGGAGCUUCUGCAGUGAGACGCAAUAGGUUUGUUCGACAUCGGCUGUGGCUGGAUGCAACCGAUCGGCGAGAUUAGCCGCGUACAGGUGGGGAGGAGCUGAAAACGGAGACGUGAAGUCGAACACACCUAAUGACUUUACCUUUGACAAUUGGCUCUUUUAUUUAGAAGGCGAGACUUAUUCCACCAUACCACGCGUUUUGCACUGACUUAUCCAAUUUUAUAAUAAAUUAUAAAUUGUCCGUCUUGCUGUUAUAUCUAAAGUUUUCGUGCAGACUCUGCUCAAAGAGCACAGAGAUGAUAGCAAAGAAGUAAAGCUAACGAAAGCAGCCAUGGCACUAAACGAGCAAUCGUUAUUAUAAUCCAAAUGGGCAAACAGUAUAAAUUAUUAUGCAAGUUGACCUGAGAAACAACAAAUGUAAAACUGCGUUAUUCAUCACCGUGACUGUAAAGUGGACUUUUAAAGCUGGAAUAAUGAGUGGAUUAAGCAUUUCAAUUGUCAAGAGAGGAAUAACAUGGAUGGAACUUUUUUGGCAAUGAGGAUUGUGCAUACAAGGAGGGAGAAGGCAAACUUCUAUGGGAUCACUCCUCUCGCCUGCCGAGUGUGGCGUUGUGCCCAGGCGAGUUGUGGAUUUCUCGCGCUGUGCCGUGUGCCCUCCUUCCUCUCUCCCACCGUCCGUUUAAGUGUGGCUGGAGCCUGGACGUGUGUGGUUCUCUCUCUGACCCAGUGUGUGUGCUCAUCGCCUUUUUGCCGUCUGUCUCUGUGUGGCCUUGGUGCCCAGACGUGCUACUGACUCUCCUUAAUAUUUUAUUUCAAUAAAUAUUUCUGUUCAUCUG